CAGAGGUCCCAAGCGUUGUUCGGAUUCGACUGGGCGUAAAGGGUGCGUAGGCGGUCGGGUAAGUCUGAUGUGAAAUCUCUGGGCUCAACCCAGAAAUGGCAUUGGAUACUAUUCGGCUUGAGGUCUGGAGGGGGGACUGGAAUUCUCGGUGUAGCAGUGAAAUGCGUAGAUAUCGAGAGGAACACCAGUGGCGAAGGCGAGUCCCUGGACAGGUCCUGACGCUGAGGCACGAAAGCUAGGGGAGCAAACAGGAUUAGAUACCCUGGUAGUCCUAGCCGUAAACGGUGCUUAUUUGCUGUAAAAGGAAUCGACCCCUUUUGUGGCGUAGCAAACGCGUUAAAUAAGCCGCCUGGGAAGUACGGUCGCAAGAUUA
rnacentral:rRNA from 1 species